GAGUUUGAUCCUGGCUCAGAUUGAACGCUGGCGGCAUGCCUUACACAUGCAAGUCGAACGGCAGCACGGGAGCUUGCUCCUGGUGGGCGAGUGGCGAACGGGUGAGUAAUGCAUCGGAACGUACCCUGGAGUGGGGGAUAACGUAGCGAAAGUUACGCUAAUACCGCAUAUUCUGUGAGCAGGAAAGCGGGGGACCUUCGGGCCUCGCGCUCUUGGAGCGGCCGAUGUCGGAUUAGCUAGUUGGUGAGGUAAAGGCUCACCAAGGCGACGAUCCGUAGCAGGUCUGAGAGGAUGAUCUGCCACACUGGAACUGAGACACGGUCCAGACUCCUACGGGAGGCAGCAGUGGGGAUUUUGGACAAGUGGGGCAACCCGUGAUCCAGCCAUGCCGCGUGAGUGAAGAAGG
rnacentral:rRNA from 1 species